rnacentral:rRNA from 1 species
UACGUAGGGUGCAAGCGUUGUCCGGAAUUAUUGGGCGUAAAGAGCUCGUAGGCGGUCUGUCGCGUCUGCUGUGAAAACUCAGGGCUUAACCCUGAGCUUGCAGUGGGUACGGGCAGACUAGAGUGCGGUAGGGGAGACUGGAAUUCCUGGUGUAGCGGUGAAAUGCGCAGAUAUCAGGAGGGAACACCGGUGGCGAAGGCGGGUCUCUGGGCCGUAACUGACGCUGGAGGAAGCGGAAAGCAUGGGGAGCGAACAGGA